rnacentral:rRNA from 1 species
CCCUUAGACGUUCUGGGCCGCACGCGCGCUACACUGAUGCAUUCAACGAGUGUACCUUGGCCGAGAGGCCUGGGCAAUCUUUUGAACGUGCAUCGUGAUAGGGAUAGAUUAUUGCAAUUAUUAAUCUUGAACGAGGAAUUCCUAGUAAACGCAGUUCAUCAAACUGCAUUGAUUACGUCCCUGCCCUUUGUACACACCGCCCGUCGCACCUACCGAUUGGAUGGUCCGGUGAAGCCUCGGGAUUGUGGCGGUUGCCUUUAUUGGUGGCCGCCGCGAGAACUUGUCUAAACCUUAUCAUCUAGAGGAAGGUGAAGUCGUAACA